rnacentral:tRNA from 2 species
AGUGGAUUAGUUAAACGGUAUAAUCACCGACUCAUGAUCGGUAGUUCUGGGUUCGAUUCCCGGGUCCGCGU